AAGACCCCCAAUGGGCUUUUUGUUUGUUUGUGUGGGCUUUUCAAGAUUGAUAUUUACUUUGUUAGAAAUCAAAAUCUAUAAGAUGGUUCAGUGGCCUUUUCACUUCAAGUUUAGAAAACUGUAAUUUUGGCUUGUAUAGACCUCGUAAUGUCUACACGUAAAAUACCCAGUUCCUGGUCUCAAAAUGGUGCUACAACAUAUAAGGAAAUGUUGUGUUGUGUACAACACGAUAAGGCUCAUUAUUAACAUCUAUAAAGCUCAGAGGAAGAUUGCUUCUCAUCAUAUUUUCACUGAUAAGGUUGUGAGGAGAUUUCUCAUCAGAAACCUUGGAGGCUAGAAGGCAUGGGUUGAUGUGUUUAAAGCAUUGAAGGAAAAAAGCUGUCAACCAAGAAUCCUACAUUUGGGAAAACUGUCCUUCAAAAAUGAGGAAGAAAUGAAGACAUUCCCAGAUCAACCAAAGCUGAAAGCCUUGCCCUGAUGACUAGACCGGCCCUGCAGUGAAGGGGGUCCUUCAGGUUGAAAUGAAAGGGCACUGAACAAGUAACUCGAAGCCUUCUGAAGAGAUAAUCUCCGGUAAAGGUAAACAGACAGACAAUUAUGAACGCUAGUACUGUUAUGACUUUGGUCUGUAGCUCUACUUUUUGUUCUCUAUGUUAAGAGACUGAUAUAUUUAAAAACCUAAUUAUUCAUCUAUGCUUUUGGACACAAGAUGCAUAAAGAUGUGAUUUUGUGACAUUAACAACUGACAGAAGGUGGGGUCAGGGCUGUAAAGUAGCUGAGUUUUCAUGUGUUAUUGAGGUUAAGCUGGUAUAAAUUGACACUACAAUGUUGUAACUUUAGGAUGUUAAAAGCAAUCCCAUGGUAACCACACACAACCACACACACACACACACACACACGCCACAGAACAUACACAAAAGGAAAUGAGAAGGGAAUUAAAAUGUUUCACUACAAAAAAAAAAUCAACUAAAUGCAAAAGAAGAUAGUCAUGCAGAAAAUUUGAGACAGAAAGCAAUUAAGGCAUAUAGAAAACAAAGAGCAAACCACAGAAGGAAUUCCUUCCUUAUCAGUAAUGACUUUAAAUGUAAGCAGAUUAAACAGAUUAGUGAAAUGGAUAAAAACAUAGGAUCCAACUCUCUGUUACCUACAAGGGACUCAGAUCCAAAGACACAAAAAAGGUGAACGUGAAAGGAAGGAAAAAGAUAAUCCAUGCAAAUGCAGCCAAAAGAAAGGGUGGAGUGGCUGUAAUAAUACCAGACAGAACAGACGUUAAAUCGGAAAAUGUUACAAGAGACAAAGAAGGACAUUUUAUAUGAAUUAAGAGGUUCAGUACAGCAAGAAGAAAAGAUGAUAAACAUUUACACACAUAAUGAGAGGCCAUUAUCGACAGAACUGAAGGGAAAAAUAGUUCUAUAAUAAUCGUUGGAGCCUUCCAUAUCCCACUGUCAAUAACGGACAGGACAACCAGACAGAAGGUAAGUAAGGACACAGAGGAUUUGAAGAACACCAUAGCCCAGCCAGAUCUAACAGACGGGCACGGGACCCCACCCAACAAUAACGGCACGCGGGACCUUCUCUGAGACAGUCUUUGCAUUAGGUCACGAGUUAAGUCUCAGUAGAUUUCACAAGAUAGAUAUCAUACAAAGUAUCUUUUCCAACCACAAGAAGAUGAAGUCAGAAAUGGGUAACAGAAGGAAGAGUGGAAAAUUUAAAAAGCUGUGAAAACUGAAAACACACUCUCAAAGAACCAAUGUGUCGAAGAAGAAAUCACAGUGGAAUGCGAACAUACGUAGAGGUGAAGGGAAAUGAAACACGACGCGUCAAAACUCCUGGAAAACAACAAAGCAGUGGCGAGGGGGAAAUUUAUAGCUGUAAACGCUCACAGUAAACAUCAAGACAGAUCUUAAAUCAACACCAUAGACGUGCAACUUAAGAAACUAGAAAAAGCCAAAGGUAGCAAAGGGAAGGACAUAAUAAAGAUUAGAGCGGAGAUAAAUGAAACAGAGGCUAGAAAAACGAAAGAGAUAAUCAAUGGACCCAAGAGCUGGUCCUUUGAAAACACCAAACUGCUAGCCGGAUUGCCGGUGGAGGCAGAGAAGACUCAAUGACUGCAUUGCCACUGACUCCUUACAGACGUAGGAAGGGUUAGAGUGCUAUCAACAAGUGUAUUCCAGCUAAUUGGAGAAUCCAGAUACAAUGGACCAAUUUCUAGACCUAGAAAACCUACCAAGACUAAAUCACAAAGAAAGAGAAAAUCGGAAGAGAUUCGUACAUAACUAGGGAGGAGCCUGAGGCUGUAAUCGAAGAUCACUUGACCAAAAAAAGCCCCGGAUCUGACAGCCUCACUGGUGAAUUCUACCAAACAUUGGAAGAAUUGACACCAAUCUUCUCAAACUCUUCCAAAAAAUUCAGGAGAAAGAACACUUCCUAACUAAUUCUAUCAGGCCGCCAUUGCUUUGAUGCACCCUAAAUAUCUCUGGGCCACCUUCCAGACAGUCACCAGAGGAGUUUUCUAAAAUAUCCAGCCAGAUGAGUUAUUUUCUCAGCGACAAAAGAGACCUUUCUCUUGUCUGUGGAAAGAGAGGACCAGCAGUGUCUCCAGAAUCAGGCUGAACAUCUAUGGACCUCUUCUGAGAGCCUCCGUCCACAACGGAUGGGCCACACCGCAGACUGGACACAGCUGAAGCGGGGCAGGGGGUGGGGUGGGGAGGGGAGAAUUCACGGAGGUAACCUGGGCUUCAAUUGGUCUGUCAGCUGCUUUGACUGCUUUGGGCAUCUUUGAAUACAACAAGCCAUGCCCUCGUUGGACACUGGGAAAGGACAAUCUAUCUGCACAUCCAGCCCUAUGGGCUGGAGUCUCCCAAACGAGGCCAUCGUUUGUUUUGGCAACUCUGCUCCACCACAACAUUCAUCAGACUCCUGAGAAAGACGACCGAUGAAGGGAUCCAUAAAUGGGUUGGCAGGCCCUGCCUGCCUUUCCAUCUGCCCAGUGCUGGCCUUGAACACCCGGAGUGGCUUCUCUGCACGCUCUCCUGUGGGCUGCCUUCCUGCCUUGGUGCUGGCGCCCAGAGCUUGAGACCCAUUUCUGUCUGCAAGAGGACUGUGGUCUUUGCCCUUGCUCCGCUGAGCUCUGGCUGCCACCUGCAUCCAGCAUGCGUUCCCAGCACCCCCCGUCCCGGCUCCAGGCCGAGUUCAUCUGGGGCCUGCUACCAGGGUGACGAGGACCCCACGGAAUGCUCAGACCGGGCCCCGGCACAUCACAAAUGCUGCAGAAGUGAGUUGUCAUCCACAUCAUCAGAGGCCAUGACUCUGCAUCACUCAGAGCAAGGGUGGAGCCUUCCCGGCAAGGAUUCGACUCUGUUCCAGGAAGAAGAGAGGCAAUGAGCAAAAAGACCACAGCAGGCAUGUCGUAGAGGAGGAAACGGAGUGCACAGAUGAACACGGGAAAAGCUGCCCGAUGUCACGAGGAUGCAGGGAAGUGCAAGGUAAGGUCCCCGUGAGAGAUUUCACAUCCAUCAGGCUCACAGUGAGGAAGACAUGUGACAUCUGACAGCACCGAGGGUCUGAAAGGAUGGAGAUCAGCUGGCACCCACGGUUGAUGAGUGUGAAACCUGGUCUGGCCACACUGAAAACCGCUUUGGCCUUUUCUUGUUAGGUUGACCAGUCCCAUGCCUUAGCACCCUGCAAAUCCACUCCCAGGAGCCACACAAGGCACACCCAAGAAGAGUUCGUCGCAGCACUGUUAGCAAGAGGAGGGGGAGAGAGGAAAUGACCCAGAUACUCCCUGACAGAGCAAUGCAAAAAGAAAUUGUAGCACGGUCACACAAUUUCUUUCCACACUGGUGACAGCAAACUCCAGCUACACAGCAGCACGGCUCAAGCUCAGAGAGAGGGAAAUGUUGAGUACAAAAAUGCAAAUUUUAGAGAUCUACGUACAGAGAGGAAGUUUUUAGAGCUUGAGAACGAAGAAGCAAUCUAAUGUUUAGGCUUAUUCAGUCGGCCUGUGAGCAAGAGAAUGGCAAACAAACAAACACCAAAUUGCAGAGAGGGGUGACCUGCAGGCAAGGAGGAGAUGGAAGUGACUGGGAAUGUUCUAGUUCUGGAGUUGAGCUGUGGGCCCACGGAUGUUCAUUGUCCCACCAUCCUUCAGAAUGCACGAAACACACGAAGUAUUAAAACAGAACAGAGGCAAAGGGGAAAAACAAGAAGAGAAACAUGGUGUGGGUCCAGACACAUCCAGUAUGAUUUCCUUGUCACACACAUAGUUGACUGUUUUCACGUGGUGUCACGGGGGGUCCCAAGAGUUCCGUCGAGAGGCCAGAGCGGGAAGUGAAAGGACAGGCAAUUGGACGAGGGCAUUCUUCCCUCUGGGCCUCGUUUCUUCAUAUGCAAAAUGAGGGGGUGUACCAGGAGUGCCAAAUGGCUGGCGUGCAUAACCCAGGCCUCCCCUUCCUGACCCGCUGCGGACACUACUCGUGCAUUGCAGCACUGUUUCACAUGGAGCACAGACACGCAGCGUUGGGCUCUGCAGCUGGGCCCUGCAGGCUGCCGGGAAUGCCAGUCUGAGAGGGCACACUAAGUGAUACCUACGUGCUGAUCUGGAGAGACCCAGAUCCCUCCAGCUGUGGCCUGGAAGGUUCUGAAGCCUCACCAGCAGGCACUAGCUAGUCUGAGAGGCAGGGGCCCUAGGGAGGAGCCGACUGGCUUUGGUACUGACCCUAGCCGGACCCUGGCAGCGUGCAGCCUCAGCGUCUACACUGCCCACGCCUGUGGCCUCCGGUCCGCCGCGGGGGGGCCCCUGGCCCCCCCAUCAUCUGACCAGAGCCCGUGCUCCCAUCCGUCGGGUGGGCAGGCUCAUGUCUACGCUCUGCGGGUGAGCUCUGCUGGACCUGAAAACGGCAAGAUGGGCGGAGGGCCAGGCAGGAGCUCAGCUUCACCCUCUAGCCCAGAGAGCCGUGGAAGCGGCCCCGUUGUGCCAGAUUCAACCAGCUCUCCGAGGCAGGAGGAUGGCGUUCCUUUCACCACCGCCUAGGUCUGCCUGGGCCUGCAGGCCUUUGCUCCUCUGCUCCCCUCGCUACCUGCCCCCCUGCCCCCGCCUGUCCCCUCUUCCUCCCCUUAUGGUCCCAGCUCACAAGACUCCUCCUUGGUUGUGCUAUUCCAUCUACCUCCCACCCCCCAUCCCCCCAGUGAGCGCUGACGUGCCUUCCUCUAGACAACCACCACACAGAGGUCAGCUUUCCCGAGGAGAGCUUGUGUGCUGGGUCUGGUCCAGUUUCUGUGGGUGUCUGUCCCCUCCAGUAUGGGGAGCCCAGCAGGGGCCACCUCACACCCGCAUGAAGAUAAUACCAUCAAACAGCCACAAUUCCUUGGAAUCAAUGGGCUUCUCCGAGAACUGUCCACCUACUGCCUAAGCCGCACAGCCAGUGAGGUUGGCAGUCGGGGAAUGGUACCUCCCUCCCUAUUCCAACAGCGAGAAACUCAAGGGCCACAGAGGGGGGUGACUUUUCCAGCAUCACUGCCCACCCUCCAACCUUCUGGGAGGCUGAGAAGCUUUUCUGUCAUGUCCCAUCAGGGCCCUCAAACCCCAGGAAACACCUCACUUCCCCAGAGCAGGGGCCUGAUGAGUGACCACAGCCCCUAAUCAUGGAGCAUCUGGUUUCAUCCUGGUCCCUGUGGAUUCUUUUAACAACAAGAUCACGCGGAGAGACAUCAUACCCAGGGACGUGAUGCUUCGGCGAUUCGUCUCUCUUUCAUUUUGUUCACCUGAUACACGUUUUAAAUGACUACGGGGCUGUGUACACAGGAAGCCUUGAUUCACUAGAAAGAACCGUGGCGGGUUUUCUUAGAAGAAGACAAAGUCAGGAAUUUAAGGCAUCCACACAUGUCCAUUGAGCAGAGUGGAGACAAAGAUGUCUCUCCCGCUGCUGUGUCCGGGAACACAGCUGCCCACACACGCCCACCACACCCCCGGAUCAGAGCCUGCCACUGAUAUCCACGGUGUGAAAGGGCUUGGAACCCACUGUCAUCGUUAUCACCAUCCCUCGACCCCAAGAAGCCAACACCAUGAGCUUGCAAAGGCACUCCAACAGGAACGCUCACUUGUGUUCCCAGGAAUACACACAGACGCCAGAUAUUUACUUCUGGUUCCAACUUCUCCUGGGUUCAUCCUCUUUCAAGUCCUGGAAACUCUGGGCACCACUUCUUGCCCUACAAUCCCUCCGUCAGAUCCCCCCAUCGCCCACUCUCCCAGGAAGCUCCCCCACCUGGACACCUCCAAAUCCUCCUCAAAGCCCUCUCUGACUCCCCCUCUUCCCGGCCUUCUCGCUGGCCUCUUUACACUAAUUUCCUGCUAGAACGAUCAUAAUGGGUUCAAAUGCUGCCGCUUGCACACCUAUCUCCCCCGUCACGGGGCAGGUUGUGGGAGCAGGGCGCAGGGCUGAUGUACCCCCUUACCUCCAGCCCCUCAGCAUGGGCCCGGGCACAUGGGUGGGGGGUGGAGUAGGGCCUCAAAGAAGCAUGAUCUAAAUCCCUGGGCUCUGUUUUCCUCCAACUUAGAGUGUAGUGAAAGAGCUCUAAUGACAAAGAAGGUAAAUUCUAGGUAUUCUGAACAGAGACCAGGCCAUCCUUUCCUGAGUACUUCACAGCGAAGCCAAGACCUCACUGGUGAGUAACUGUCAACUGCCCAACAGUGGGAGUGAAGAACUUUCCCAGGAGAGAGAGAGUCACAGACAAAUGUUGUAAGGAGGGAGGGAGCAACUUGUGUAAGGACCGAAAGGCCAGUGGUGCCUCCGCAAAGCAAUGGGGCGAUGGGCAAGAGUUCAUGGAUUAUGCGUAUCGGUUAGGUUAGGAUGGAUUACGCUGCGUAACACACAAUUCUCUAAAUCUCAGUGGCCUACAAUAAAGUUUCUUUAUGUCUCAGACUACAUGCACAUGUGGCUCUCCUUCGUCUCUUCUCCCCUCUGGACUCAGGUUGACAGAGCAGUCUGUCUCUAUCUGGAAUAUUGCCAUUGUCGUGGAAAAAGGAAAAGAAAAGUGGUAAAUUACUCACUGGUUCUUAACGCGUGUGCUCACAUCUGUUUUCACUGUUCAGCAGCCCCUCUGCCAUGCCUGAGGACAAAAUGGGCCAUGCUGUAUAAUCCUCCCACCGAGCAGGGCACUUCGAUACAGGGCACCGAAUGUGGGGGAGUGGUAAUCCAGUUCCACACCGUGCUUAUGAGUUUGACGUCUUUCCUAGGAUCAGUGAAAUCUGUUGAAUAAACUGUUCAUUUCUAAAAAUCCCUCUGGCUGUAGUGAGAGACACAGAUUGGAAGUGGGCAAGGGUGGGAUUCGGGAGAAAAUUCAGGAGGCUGCCUCAGUUGCCCAGGCAAAAAAAAAAAGAAAAGUACUUUACACUAGGGUCAUGGCAGUGGAAAUGGAGAGAAGCCAAGAGAUUGAAAAGAUGGAAGGGUCUAGUGAUGUACAAAGAGGAGCAGAGGUGAGUGAAUGUGUGACCCCAGAAUGGCGAAAAGAUACAGCAGGCUUGGCUUCUCAUGUCUUAAACAGUUGCUGGCUCCCAUCUUUGGGGAGGACCAGCUACUCUACUCUCUGCUUGUCCUUGGGCUGUCUAUGUUCUCCUAAGAAAUCUCCCUUCUUGCUUGACAAAAAAGGCUGAGCUCAAUAAAGAUGGGAAGACACGGAUGGGGUGAGCAGCCGAGUGAGCCGACAAAUGAGUGACACAGUGACCAGGGGAAUUAAUUCAUGUCUCCAAGUGUUCAAAGAGUGAAGAGAAACUAGACUCAACCGGAAGAAAAAGAAAGUCCUCCCACUGGGCAUGCCUCAAAAGGAUCCCUCACCUCCCUAGUGACACAUCAGGCAUCUUUCUUCUUCCACGGGGCUGUGACCAAUUUCGGCUAUAACAGAGAAAGGGGAAUGGGUGAGAGAAGAAGAAGGGAGGGACAGGGAGGCAGAGGAAGGAUGGGCUCCAUGGACACAUAGCAACCUCUAUCGGAUCCUCUCCUCUCCUCCAUGUGGCCUCCCUCCCUAUGCUUCCUUUUAGAGUUCCAGACUUGACUUUCAGUGGUGGGAGGGCUUGGGAUUCACAAACACCUCAAAAGAGAAUUUCUGUAGCAGCAGCAUUAGGCCACCUGACAGGAACUUAGAGCCUUGGGGUCCACACAGGCACAGAAAGCCGCGGGGUCUCCUCUGCCCUGGGUGUUCUCAAUAGCCAAGAAGAGGAAGGUUCAGACACAGAACUGUAUGGCACCUUCUCGGCCCCUCCCCGACCCAUGUUCCCAGUGCACCCCGAUCAGCUCGGGGAAGGGGCCACAUCGAUUCCUGCCACCUGCCUGUGCCGGGGCUGUCUGCACGCUCAGAAACCAUCGGCUUCCCAUUAGGCAGAUCAAUAGCCUCCACUGGUUUCCAAUUUGUGUUUCCAGAAAUUCAUCUCCCAGCCACCUUUUUAAUUAACCCCCCUCCACCACACCUGGGGCACAGAUACACCACCCGCCCUGGGCCACCUCUGCAGACCACAGACCACGAGGCUCCGCGAGCCACAGGGGAGCUGCAGGUGUGUUUAAAGCUGACCAGCUGCUUCCCGGUCACCGCAGGAGCUGACCCUGCUGGCUGGAUGCCAUCCACUCUGUCCCCUGCUCCUCGCUGAACCCCCGUGGAAGGGGCUGGGUCCUCCCUCACAGAAAGAAAGCAGGUCAAGAAAGAGGCCAAGGCAGUGUCCUGAGGUCCCCCAGCUGGCAAGAGCUAGGACAAAGCGCUCCCCAGAUGCCGCAGGACAAUGGGGUCUGGCUGGCAGGUGAGCAGGAGGGGCCAGCAGCUGUAGGUUCAGGGCAGGAAAAGGUGGAGGGAGUGUGAUCCCCAGGAGCCUCUGCUUUCCCACACCUGGGGUCUCCUGGGUAUUCCGCACUGCUCACCUGUCUACCCCUCCGGGGCCUAGCACCCCAUCAGUGUCUCCAUCACUGCUGCAUCCCUGGUGCCUGGCACAUAGUAGGUGCUCAGUAAUGGCCGCUAAAUGAGCAGUAAAUACUUGCCGCACUUUGCCCUGGGCAGUGUUCCCACAGCUUCUCUAAAUGACCUUAUUUCAAUUUCACAGCUGUCCUCGAGGCGGGCAAAACUAGUGUAUGCAUUUGAUAGGUGGGAAGACUGAGGCCCCGAGAGGUUCAGUGACUUCCCCAAGGUCACAUGGCGAGUCAGCGGUAGAGCUGCGAUCUGAACCUGACUCUGGAACUGCACUCCACGCUCCCUUACCUAUUUUCCCGGUGGCCUCAGCUCUGAAGGGCAGGAACUGGUUCCUGUGCCCCUUGGAACCUCCACCAUAUAAACGUGUUUGUUGAGUGAAUAAAUGAGUGAAUUAUGCACUCCUUGUCCUUUAAAACACAGUACAGUCAACCAGUCUGCUGGCACAAAUCUGGAGUGUUUCUGGUCGGGGAUGAAGGGGAGGGAGGAGUGAAUCUCCUGGGGGACCCAGAGGUGACAAGCCUCUCAGUAGUUCCAACUCGGGGGCCAUUACUAGGGACCCUCUGAUCUCCCCCCACCUCCUUGCUCACCAGUCUGUUAUAUUGGGGUUCUCUGUCAUGUAUACAGAGGGCACAGAGCCAUGAUUUGGUUUUAUGUGGUGUCUUGAGACUUUCCAGUGAGAUAAGUGGAUUACUGUUGACCCAACAUCUGGGCAAAAAGAGCCUGCUAUGCGUGGUCAUCCAAGUCAGCUUCUGGAGGUGGCCAAAGUGAGACAUGAAGGGAAGGGGGCCAUGAUGGACCCUGCACCUGUGGCCAGUGAGAGCAGCAUUUGCUGUAUGCAAGUAUGGUUCUGAGCUCUUGACGCAUUUAAUCCUGAGCACAGCUCCACGAAAUUGUGCCGGUGAAUGAGGCCAAGUAAUGUGCCCAAAGUCACACAGCAGCAGGAGUUGGGCAGGGAAUUCAGCCUUCACCACGCCGUGCCCUUAACCCUGGGGCAACGCUGCUUCCCUGUGGCACAGCGGGCUAACCCGCUGUGAGCACAUGAGUGGGUGUUGGGGGAGAAUCCACGGAUCUGCACUGCCUGGUGCCUCCUACAGGGGGCUACGGCCCAUGGGCCCCCGAUUCAUCCGCAUCAGAUGACGUCCCCUUCUCACUCCCGUGGAGCGUGGCUGGGCCCCGAGUACGCACUCCAAACACAUUCAUAAAACCAGUGACCGAACAGACGUCUGGGGGUGGGGGGAACAGCCAUUAUGGAAGUUCGAGGCCUUGGAGUUCACACCCUCACAAUCCUACGUGUGCAUCCACUUCUCCCAAAUAUAUCAUCUCAGAUCUGCUUGAGAAGAGAUGUCCAAUGCCAGCUCCGUGACCCAUUAAAGCUAACCAGCCGUGCGGAGUUAGCGGAAAUGAUGAAAAUAGUUGAAGGGUCGGGUGGUUUUAUGGGAAGGCUUACAUCUUAAUGAAAUGCCAGCCCAGAGCAACAGUGACCAUGUGAGAUGCCACAAAGCUGGCAGAUCCCUGGCCACUCCUCGCUGCUUUUGCCAUUUUCGAUGUGAAGCGGGUGUGGCUUGGCUCAGGUGACCACCAGGGAACCAGGGAGGCCUCGGGGCCUCCGUGUGACCCCAGAGGUCAUCCAGGAGCCAGAAGAAGAUGGGCCAGGGCUGAUCAGGGCAGUGGUAGAGAAAAGCAACACCAUUUCCCACUCCAAUGGCAAAGUCCAGGCCCUCUAGGAAUCAUUCAGAUAAGUAAAGGCAGCGGGCAGUUAGACGCUUCCUACUUGUUUAAUCUUCCCAGGAAUCAGUUCAGGUGAGACUUACUGUCUCCAUCUUAUGCACGAAGGAACUAAACAGGCUCCGAGAGGCCAAGUGCCUCACCAAAGGCCACACAGCGGGUAGGUGACAGAUAUCACAGGAUUAGGACCAAAGCGGGUUCCAUUACUCACGUUCCAAGAGGAAGCACUGCCCAACAUCAGGAGGGAACCCCAAAUAUGGCCUCAGGGUGGUCAGUGCUUUCUUAACAGUAUGGUUUUGCCAGGACCUCCACUCAAGGUCUAGGACUCUGCCUCCGACUGCCUGAUCUCCCAGAACUUUGAGCCGCUGGGUCUGUCACUCCAGGUAAGCCCCCGUGGCCACGGACGAGACGAUGGAGCCCUUGGCUCGCUGCCAGCUGGCCUCAGAAUGUGGCUCAGCAAGACCCGCGAGGGACCCGUACCUCCCCACGCUGUGUGCCAGCCUGGCCUGUCACAGCCUGCAGCCAAGCUCCCGGGUCCUUCACCCAGGGAGCCCAGGGGACCAGCCCCUCAUGCUGCCACUGAUACCUUACAGCCUUGAAAUUCUAAAAACCUAGAAAAUCACAGCACGGUACAAACGAAACGAAAGUCACCCAUAAUCUCACCACCUGGAAUGAACCACUCUGCCUUUUUGUGAA